rnacentral:lncRNA from 1 species
CUCCCUCCUGAGUUCUUCUAACCUCUUUAGUGAAACCUUUCUUUGGGCUGGAGGUAUAACUCAGUAAUAAAGUGCUUGCCUAGUAUGUGGGAGGUCAUGGGUUCAAUCCCUAGCACCAACCAACCAACCAACAAACAAAACCCCAAAACCCGACAACAACAACAACAACAACAACAACAAAAUCGUCUUCAAUGAAAGAGAUCACUGUUGGAUGCCUUCCUACACCAUGCCAAAUUCUGGCUGACUAAAAGCUAGAAGGGAGGUUUUCAAAAUUUGAGAAUACUUUGUCCCCACAUAGGUAAGUUGGAGAUAAGCUGCUCAUGAUGGGGGCUUAUUAAUUUUUCUUCCUUUCAAAAAAACCUUUUCUAAUAUGAAUGAAAGUUUUGUAGAAGUACUAGGGGAAAAUUCUGCUGUAUGGAAAAAUAUAGAUGCAAUAUAGAUCAAAUGGUCCAUUGCAAACUUACCAUCAGAAAGGAGAAAAGGCUAGGGGACUUGUCUUUUUCCAGUGCAUAGGGGUAAACCCAGAUCUUGGGCUUCUUCUAUCCUUGGCCUUCAACAAGGCAUCAGUCAUCCAGUUCUUUCUUGAUGAGAGUCUAGGAAGUAGGAAAAGGGUGAGGAUUUCCUUGGGCUUUAAUCCUGCAAGUAAGUUGAAGAGAGAAGGAAAUAAAGAGGCUUUUUAUAGUCUUCCUUCAGAGAGGGUAAGCUUCAAAAACUCAGGUCUUUCCCACUACCAGUACUCAUGCUGUCUCAUGCAUUAUAAUGCUACAGAGUUACUGUCUCUUUCUCUACUAAAUGCCCUCUUCUGUUAACAACUGAACAGUAGGAGGCAGCAGAAAACAUCCUCCGGGUUUGUUUAUUUGUUUGUUUGUUUUGGUACUGCGGAUUGAAACCAGAGGUGUUUUACCACUUAGCUACCCUGAGCUGCAACCCUAACCCUUUUUAUUUUUUAUUUUGAGGCAGGGUCUCUCUAAGUUGCCCAGGUGGGCCAGAAACUUGUGAUCCUCCCUCUUGCCUCAGUCUCCAGAGUAGCUGGAAUUAGGAGUGUGUACUCCUGUGCCUGGAUGAAAACAACGCUUUAUAGCAGUAAGAAAAAUAAGUUACUUUAAAAAUUUGUUUUUAGUUGUUUGUAGAACUUUAAUUUAUUUAUUUAUAUGUGCAGAGAAUCAAACCCAGUGCCUCAAACAUGCUAGGCA